rnacentral:lncRNA from 1 species
GAGCUCAAUUAUGUUAUGUAUUCCACCUUGUGACUUUCAAGGAGAGAUGCUUCCAUAGGGAGCGUCUUACUUAAGGAGGAGAAUUAGAGCAGAAGCUCUGUUGGGGCCUUACUAUCUGCCAGCUGAAGGAUCAAGUAAUCACAAACUUCUGAGAUGUUUCUCCAGUUCCACCAAAACAGAACCUCAGAAAGGAGCAGAAGAAUAUCCCUCUGGCCACCCACAACACCUCUGCACUGCCAAUGGACUUGGCUGCAAGUCCAUGUUCAAGCCCAGACAUGCUCUGCGUUCAUCCAGCUUGGAUGGAAAAUGGUGAAUUUUGCUUAAAAGCGUAAGGAGAGAGAAAUACACGUCAUUCCUCAGCACAGACCUAAAGGCAUCCUUGUCUGCAGAGGGGAUGGAGCACACACCACACACCACCGGGCCUUCUGUCUGACACAAAGCAGCCUAGCAGCCCGGAUCCGUCUCACAGACCACGAGACAUGCUGGGAAUGACAAGCUGAAUUCCACUUGUCUGCUUGGGCACAGCAAACAGGCGUCAGGACACACAGAACUCUCUCUGGCCUCCAGCCUGAGCUCCUGCGCAGCCCUGCUGGGGAUAAAGGAGGGCAGGAUCACUCACAGCAACCCAGGGACUCAUGCAAGACAUGGGCAGGGGUGAAAAGAGAUAAAAACCAUCAUAAAAAUCAUUCCUGUUGCUCAUAUAUACAUCUGGGAAAACAGCAGAAGCUUGAAGAAGAAAGAAGAAUUUUGUCUGUGGUGAGGGGUGGUCCAUGGUCCCCCAUGGGGAGGGGGCAGCCAGCAGGGAUCAAAGCCUCCUGGAAACCUCCCAGUGGAUGGCGAUGCCUGGAGACAGGUCAGUGCUGGCAGGAUGCUGCUCCUCGACAGGGACCACACAGCUGCAGAGGAGAGCUACAUCCUCAGGACAUUUUGCUCAAUCCCACACUCCCUGAGGAACAUGAGCAUCAUCUCCAGCCUCUGGAGAUCUCAGAACAUGUAUUCAUCGUGCAAAGUGAGAAAUGAAGAGGUUUUAGGGGUGAUCCCCAAAGAGGAGAGGAGCAGCAGUCCCCAUUCACAACCUGUCACAUAUGAGAGCUAUGAGGAAAUGAAGAAUAGAAUAGAAUAGAAUAGAAUAGAAUAGAAUAGAAUAGAAUAGAAUAGAAUAGAAUAGAAUAGAAUGGAGUAUUUCAGUUGGAAGUGACCUACAACAACCAUCUGCCAAUCCACAUGGAGUCAGGAGGUGUCUGAGCUGAGGAUGCCUCACAGAAUUCUGGGGUACAAAUUCAGUGCCCUGAGAAAGCACUGCCAGUCAGAUGAAUUGAUUAAUUCUCUC